AAUCUCGGGUUGCUGCAACCUCUGCCUCAUGGAUUCAAGCAAUUCUUAUGCCUCAGCCUCCCAACAGGGGACCUCCUCGCCCACGACCUGCCCCAGCAGUUGGAGAGGCUGAAGAUAAAGAAAAUCAGCAAGCCACCAGUGGUCCAAACCAGCCGUCUGUUCGCCGUGGAUACCGGCGUCCCUACAAUUACCGGCGUCGCCCGCGUCCUCCUAACGCUCCUUCACAAGAUGGCAAAGAGGCCAAGGCAGGUGAAGCACCAACUGAGAACCCUGCUCCACCCACCCAGCAGAGCAGUGCUGAGUAACACCAGGCUCCCCAGGCACCUUCACCAUCGGCAGGUGACCUAAAGAAUUAAUGACCAUUCAGAAAUAAAGCAAAAAGCAGGCCACAACCUUAACCAACACCAAAGAAACAUCCAAGCAAUAAAGUGGAAGACUAACCAAGAUUUGGAGAUUGGAAUGUUUACUGUUAUUCUUUAAGAAACAACUACAAAAAGAAAAUGUCAACAAAUUUUUCCAGCAAGCUGAGAACCUGGGAAUUCCUGCACAGAAGACAAGAGAGCAGCCUCUCCAGUUUCAGCAACCGCUAGGUUUCUAUUUUUUUUUCCUGGUUUUUACUGUUUUGGUAAUAUAUAUAUUGAAACAAGAAAUAUUAAUACCACAUGGGGAGAACCCCAA
rnacentral:sRNA from 1 species